rnacentral:rRNA from 1 species
AUUGAACGCUGGCGGCAGGCCUAACACAUGCAAGUCGAGCGGAUGAAGGGAGCUUGCUCCUGGAUUCAGCGGCGGACGGGUGAGUAAUGCCUAGGAAUCUGCCUGGUAGUGGGGGAUAACGUCCGGAAACGGGCGCUAAUACCGCAUACGUCCUGAGGGAGAAAGUGGGGGAUCUUCGGACCUCACGCUAUCAGAUGAGCCUAGGUCGGAUUAGCUAGUUGGUGGGGUAAAGGCCUACCAAGGCGACGAUCCGUAACUGGUCUGAGAGGAUGAUCAGUCAACCUGGAACUGGGACACGGCCCAGACCCCUACGGGAGGCAGCAGGGGGGAAUUUUGGAAAAGGGGCGAAAGCCUGAUCCAGCCAGGCCGGGUGUGUGAAGAAGGUUUUCGGUUUGAAAAGCACUUUAAGUUGGGAGGAAGGGCAGUAAGUUAAAACCUUGUUUUUUUGACGUUCCCAACAAAAUAAGCCCCGGCUAACUUCGU